AGCAAUGCUUUUAAACUCAUCUGCUGGGUGAUCCUUUAAAAAAUUCUCCAACAAGCCCGGGGAAUAUUUUUUCUACAAGACUACAGUUUACCUCUCACUUGCACCCUUCUACCUUCGCCACUUUACAAUUUAUUUUUGAAGAAGUCAUGAACUGUUAAAUGGUUGAAAUAAGAGGCUGUUGUUACACUGCUAUCACAUGCAAAGAAAGGAAGAAAGAGAAACACGCACUGCUCUGAUGCGUCUGUGCAAUAGACUCUGCAAAGGAAAACUAUAUAUUUUUUAGUCUUUGCUGCAAAUUGAAAGCCCUUUUCUUGGUAAAAAUAAAUAAAUAAAUAAAUCAAGCUGGCUCACACUCUUUCAAACCAGAACAGUUUGACAGCUGCUCUUCACCCCCUUUGGAGGACUGUCAACAGCAAAAGGAUGGCAUCAGAACUGGCAAUGAGCAACUCCGACCUGCCCACCAGUCCCCUGGCCAUGGAAUAUGUUAAUGACUUCGAUCUGAUGAAGUUUGAAGUGAAAAAGGAGCCGGUGGAGCCCGAUCGCAGCAUCAGCCAGUGCAGCCGCCUGAUCGCCGGGGGAUCCCUGUCUUCCACCCCGAUGAGCACGCCUUGCAGCUCGGUACCUCCUUCUCCCAGCUUCUCGGCGCCCAGCCCGGGCUCCGGGAGCGACCAGAAGGCACACUUGGAGGAUUUCUACUGGAUGACCGGCUACCAACAACAGUUAAACCCGGAGGCUUUGGGUUUCAGCCCCGAAGACGCCGUAGAGGCGCUGAUCAACAGCAGUCAUCAGCUUCAGAGCUUCGAUGGCUAUGCUAGAGGGCAGCAGUUUGCCGGCGCAGCCGGAUCAGGAGGCACCAUGGCCGGGGAAGAGAUGGGAUCGGCAGCCGCUGUGGUGUCCGCAGUUAUCGCGGCAGCCGCAGCCCAGAACGGGGGUCCCCAUCACCAUCACCACCAUCACCACGCCGGGGGACAUCACCAAGCACCCGGGGUCGCCUCCAACGUUAACUCAGGAGGAAACCACCAGCACAUGCAUUUGGAAGACAGGUUUUCGGACGAGCAGCUGGUGACCAUGUCAGUGAGAGAGCUCAAUAGGCAGCUACGGGGGGUCAGCAAAGAAGAAGUGAUCAGGCUUAAACAAAAGAGGAGGACCCUCAAAAACAGAGGCUAUGCUCAAUCCUGUCGCUACAAGAGGGUCCAGCAAAGGCACGUCCUGGAAGGCGAGAAGACCCAGCUCAUGCAGCAAGUUGAACAUCUCAAACAAGAGAUCUCCAGGCUGGUCCGGGAGAGGGAUGCCUACAAGGAAAAAUACGAGAAGCUUAUCAGCAAUGGCUUCAGAGAAAACGGCUCCAGCAGUGACAACCCUUCCUCUCCAGAAUUUUUCAUGUCGUCGAGAAAAUUUCUACAUCUGUGAUAGAGAAAUAUGACCGUGUGCCCUUGGCCUUGAAGUCUGAGGCUGCAGGUUCAGGUUCCUUCUGCGGACACUCCCGUCAUUCCCCUGACGAAGACCUAGGAAGCUGCACAAAAGGGUAACAUCACCAGCUUUUCUCACACAGACCUGGUAAUCAGGUUUCCAGGAUAGCACCUCAAGGUGCUGUUGGUUUCAGGCAUCAAGAAACCCAAAAUGAAGGCGUUCUUGGAUAUGUAACCAUGUUUGUGACAAGAAAACAUGAUAAUGGAAUGCUGAUGGCUUAGAAUGACCUGUGGCAUGACGACUGACACAAAGCACAACGUUUAAAAAUAAAAUCACUAAAGAAGAAACAAAGAAAGACAACAUUAUCACAGCAACAUUCUUCGGAGCCUCUUCCUACACUGCAGAUCUUUUCUUUUUCAGCUGUCUCUUUAGAAACAAAAGAAGCAACAUAAAGACAACUCCAACAAUAAAAUCAAAGAGAGAGACUGUUUUCUCUUAAGGUAAAAAAUAAGCAUGUUUGAAUAUGAUACAAAAUGUUAAAAUCCAACAAGUUCCUCUACGCCUCGGUGGAUGGAAAUGUUUAAAGAUGAAAGAAAAGAAAGAUGCUCCAACUCCCUGGACAUCCUGUGAGUACUGCUGUGGCAACAGUACUUUACACUUUGGCCCGCAAUAAUCAUUACAGACAUUUAAAAAAAAAGUCUUUUUUUUUAUCAUUAUCAUUUUUUUGAUUUUUGGAAAAACCACUGAAUGAAACCCAGCUGACUGAUUUUAUUUUAUAUUUUAAGGAAAAAGUAACUAACACUUCGGCCAGUUCAAGUGUUGGAAGUAGAAGAAGACAAAAUCAGUCUUCUUCCCCAGUGUUCAGUACCCACUUACAUUAGAUAUGAUUUCCUACACCUGCAAAAUAUAAUGGAGAUGUAUUUAGAGCCCAAAACUGAAAAUAGAAAGAAUCAGGCGUCUGUAGAAGAUUACAUUUUUCAAAAUUUCCUCUGGAUUAUUUGAUGCCCUUAUGGAUCAAACCUCUCAAAUUUGUAAAUACUAUGUGUAUAUAUGUAUAUAAGGUUAAAAAGAUCAGAGAGAGAAUGUGUACAUACAUAUAUAAAUUACAUGGAAUGCUUAGUUAUUUUAUGUAAAAAAAGGUUAACUAUAAACCUUCCCAAGAUCUAGUCUUAAGUGGCAUGUUAUAUUUAAAAUAGCAUACACCCACCUUAACUGAACUUUCUACUGCUAUUAUACAGAAUAAUAGGUGAAGAAAAUUUACACACACACGCAUACAUUUAUAUUUUUAUUCACACACACACAUUUGUCAGAUCAACCAGCUUGAUUUAUGUUGUUGGUCCCCAGACAGUGGUCCUUGCCUUGGUUUGCUCUAUAAGGGUGGAAUGUCUCUAUUAAGUUGAAAUCACAAUUAGCCACAUAUCAAAGCAUGCCCACCCCCCACAUCAAGGGAUUUGGCUGGUGUCUACAGCUUUAAAUGAACAGAUUUGACCUAAAAAAAUCCCCACAAACAGUAACACCAGUCAGUGAAACCGAGAGGAAAUGCAGCUUUCCAAAUUCCCAUGUGUAGGCUCCAUAGAAGUUAAAAAGGGGAAAAAAGAGAAAAAGACGGAUACUGUCUCCUUUAUCCCGCUGUAUUCCCUACUUCCCAUUAGCUCUUAACAUUUUCACUGUGUUGUGACUGCAGCUAUUUCACUUCACACUUUCAUCCAUAUACAAGCCGUAUGAAAACCACGAGGAGAUGUCGUUGGAUGCAGAUCCAGAGUUGGCAGCUUACUUUACAGUACAGUCUUGGGUCAAGUUGCUUUUCUUUUUCUUGCUUCUAUUUUUAUUCUGAUUUUUUUCUUUUUUAUAUCUGAGCCAUCUUGCUCCCCGUUUUUGCUUAUCC